CCUACGGGUGGCAGCAGUGGGGAAUAUUGCACAAUGGGGGGAACCCUGAUGCAGCAACGCCGCGUGAGGGAAGACGGUUUUCGGAUUGUAAACCUCUAUCAAUAGGGAAGAAAGAAAUGACGGUACCUCAAUAAGAAGCCCCGGCUAACUACGUGCCAGCAGCAGCUGUAAGACGUAGGGGGCAAGCGUUCUCCGGAAUUACUGGGUGUAAAGGGAGAGUAGGCGGCAAGGUAAGAGAUAUGUGAAAGCCUGAGGCUUAACCUGAGGAUUGCAUAAAGAACGAGCUAGCUAGAGUACAGGAGAGGAAAGCGGAAUUCCGAGUGUAGCGGUGAAAUGCGUAGAUAUUAGGAAGAACACCAGUGGCGAAGGCGGCUUUCUGGACUGAAACUGACGCUGAGGCUCGAAAGCGUGGGGAGCGAACAGGAUUAGAUACCCGAGUAGUC
rnacentral:rRNA from 1 species